CCUCUCCCAAUCCCCCGCCCUCUUCCUUCGCGUCCCCUCCCGCGCGGGCCGGCACGGAGCUGAAGUCCCGCUCUGGGCCUAGGCUGGCGCCGGCCAGUUCUCCCGAAGCUCGGAAACCACAUUUCCUACAAUCCCACUCGGCAGUCGCGGGGGCGAGACGCGAAGUCCCGUACAGAGCAUGCGCGUCCCUUCUCGUCGACUACUGCCACCCACCGGCCGAGGAGAGGGCGAAGGAAGUGCUAAAAACCAUCAACCGAAUCCACCA
rnacentral:lncRNA from 1 species